CCUAUAAGGUACCCUUUCUCCCACAGUGUAAAAAAUGACGAGCAGCAAUCUUGAAAUAUCCUAUAGUUUCCCGUGAGCCAUAUACUCUACAAGCCAACAAAAAAGUUUCCUUUCCCUCAGUAGCUUCGCCGCCUUCUUUAUCCCUACAACCUGAAAACACAAUCGCAUAAAAUUCUUGAUUGUACUUAAACCAAAUCGGUUAAUUAUCUCAUCCACAACUUCAAUGCCGCAUGGGAAUGAGUCUCCUCUCUAUUGUAACACAUAAUGGAGAUGUCUAGAGACAAAGCUCGAUUAGGCCGGCGGACGUGUCACAUCUCAUUAGUUGUUAAGCAUUUGAUGAAUGGUUGUUCCUCUAAACACUGUUAACUUU
rnacentral:lncRNA from 1 species